AAGAAAGAUCUUUGUUUAAAAGAAAACAGGUAGAGAGAGAAUACUGUGACCAAAGAAAAACAUGGAAGUCAUAAGAAGCUUUAAAUGGUAGUUCGUUGCCGAGGUUUUCAUUUCUUCUCAUCUCUCUUCUUAAGGACUUACCAAUUACCAUUCUUGAUAAUUAGCUCAUCACCCCUACCUUUCUGCAUGUAUAAAGAGUCUUUGUUUAAAACCCAAAUCUGAACAGAUCAAAACAAAAGCUAUAGAUACCCUUAUAACAGGACCUUGUCUUCCCUUUUCUAGUAUUUUGUACAAUUUAGAAUCCUUAAAAAUGGAGGUUUAUCCAUGCCCAUCUCGUUUUUCUAUGUCUUCAUUGUCUUCUUUUGGGAAUUUUGUUGAAAAGGUUAAAGAACUUUGUAACCUUGCUGUUUCUGCUAUCAUUGGCAACAUAUUCUCUGCGAUCUUCACCUUUUUCUUUGCAUUAGUUUGGAAGUUUUUGUUAAAGGAAUUGGCAUUGUCGAAUGCAGUGGGCGCUUUGUUAGGAGCCAUGACUGGGGCAUUGAUAGGCCAAGAAACUGAAAGCGGAUUUGUUCGAGGGGCUGCAGUUGGAGCCAUAUCCGGAGCUGUUUUCUCAAUUGAAGUAUUCGAGUCAUCUCUUGUUCUAUGGCAAUCAGAUGAAUCUGGAAUUGGUUGUGUCCUCUACUUGAUUGAUGUUAUCGCAAGCCUUCUUAGUGGGCGACUUGUUCGUGAACGCAUUGGUCCGGCAAUGUUAAGUGCAGUACAAAGUCAGAUGGGUGCUGUGGAAACAAACUUUGAGGAGAUCACAAACAUCUUUAACACAGGUGGUUCCAAGGGAUUACCUGGAGAUUCUCUCGAAAAGAUACCGAAGAUCAAAAUCACAAGCAAUAACAACGGAGAUGCAACUGGAGAAAAAGUCGCUUGUUCAGUUUGCCUUCAGGACUUUCAACUGGGAGAGACAGUUAGAAGCUUGCCUCAUUGUCAUCACAUGUUUCACCUACCUUGCAUAGAUAAGUGGCUCCUUAAACAUGCAUCCUGCCCUCUGUGUAGAAGGGAUCAGUGAUGAUUCGGUACCAUACAAGAUGAGAAAUGUUACUUUUGAUGUGUAUACUGGCAUUACCAUUCUCGGAUUCUUUAUCUUGUAAAUUCAGUUGUUUAAGGAUGACAAUUAAGCUAGUGGUACAACAGCAUGUGAUCCGAAGAAGACUAAUCAAUUGGGGUUUUGGAGAUUAGGUAGACCAUCAGAACAGUACACAGAGUUAGCAAAAAAUUGAUCCUGAUUAAGAUGAUGUUACUUUCUGGUCCCAGAACUCUCCUGUAAAGGGCAUAUAAUCAACCCAAGAUCAACAAAAUCCUUUUGAUCUAGAAGAUUCCAGUAGUGAACCUUUGCAAGCAAUGGGAUCUCAUGCUAGUAGAUUCUGUCAGCAUCAAUAAUGCAAGGCACCAUACUCUCAAUAACUCCGACAACCUGAAAGAUAAGACCUAAUCCAGACCCCAUUCCACUCAAGAUGCCAAUAUACCAAUAAAUUCGAAGGUCUUGCCUCUUUAAAACAGAGCAUUAAUACAGUAUAGCUUCCUGUUCAUUAUGAAGCCGCAAAGACGACCGUAUUAUUGAUUUGAGCAACAAAUAUCCAUACAAGGAAACUGACAAGGGUUGGUUAGAUAUUUCAGCCUUCAAUUUCCCAUUACAGAAUUGGAUAAUAUGGGAGGCCAUCAACUCCUUUGAAGGUUAGUUUUUGGUUUCUUUUUAGAAGCUGCUCGUUAAUGAAGGCUUGUUUGAUUAGGGUUUGUUUGACAG